rnacentral:tRNA from 1 species
GCGCCCGUAGCUCAGUUGGUUAGAGCACCACCUUGACAUGGUGGGGGUCGGUGGUUCGAGUCCACUCGGACGCACCA